GUUCUUGGGGUUAUCCAUACUUGAGACUGGUUCCUAACAACAAAUUAGACCUCGUCUUUGGAGGGGUGCAGCCGGCGGAGGGGGACUGACUGGCUUCCACACAUGCCUCCUUGAGCCCUCAGACACUCAUGGGUCCACUGGCCAGAGAUGGAGAAAUUGUAACUCAGAUACUCCAAUUCGACUCAAUUCAACAAACACUGAGCACCUAUGAUGUGCAAGAAGUUGGCAGUCUGCAACCCGGAAGAGGACUCUCACCAGAACCCGACGAUGCCGGCACGGUGAUCUUGGACUUCCAGCCUCCAGAACCGACCACAAGAUCUGGUUACAUUCUGGGAGAAAGGAUAUUUCCAUCUAUAUUUAGAGGGUGGGAAAAAAUACCUACUGACAGAGAAAAAUCAUCAAUGAAAUAUUUCAAGAAAAUUUCCCAGAGCUGAAGGAAAAGUUUCCACAUCAAAAGGGACCACUCCAGCACAGUGCAUGGAAAGAGACCCACAGCAAGGCAAGUCAUUGUGAAAUUUCAAAACACUGGGGACACACACAACAAAAAUAUUAAAAAGAAAAGUCCUCUUGCGUACAAAGGAAGCAGAAAUCAAAAGGGUUUCAUAUUUCUCAACAGCAACAUUUUUUUAAGGCAAUGGAGCAAUAUUUUCAAAACUCUAGAGGAAAAUAUCUCCAACCUAGAAUUCUGUAUUCAGCCAGACAAUCAAUCAACUGCAAGGGUUGAAAAAAGACUUUUCCAGAUAUUCAAGAGUCAGAAAAUGUACCUUGAAUGCACUUUCUCUAAGGAAGCUACUGGGGGAUGUGCUCCACCAAAAUAUGGGGGUGACACUAACCCAGGAGAGGGGUGGAGGGAUCUCCCACUGAUGCGUGUGCUCGGGCCUUCUGGGGAGUCAUCCAGACAGGAGCAGGGCUGAAGGACGGACUUCCCAGGAAGACAAAAUUGGUAGGUCGCCGUGCGUCUGAAUAUCUUGAAAGGAGAUUCAUAAGAUACUUGACAAAAACUUUGGGGUUUAGAUAGUGAUAAGUCAUUAGAAACCCAAAGAAAUUAAAACAAACAAAAGACGAUAAUUAAUUUCAGGAAAAACACAAAAAUAAGCAAAGAAGAAAAAGUUACUAUAAUAUACUAUAUAAUUCAGCUGUGAGUAUCAUUGAUCCAGUAAUAAUGUAUAUGCAAAGUAUUGAUCUAACUAAAAUUAUAAUGAAACUACAUUUCCAGGGAUAGGAAAUAUGUUUAUGUAUAGGUGGAAGGAGUGAAAUCCCAUCUUCCAUAGUAGAAAGUCAAUGAAUGACACUCAAAAUUGGAUAAUCCAAUAGCAGUAAUGUAAGUGUAACAUUUAGAGCAGCGCAGGUAAAUACUAAAAGAACUAGCUGGAAGCUUGCGGGGGGAGGAGAAGGUGAGAGCUGGGGCUGGGGACAAGGACCUUUAAAUUGUAAGCAUGUAGACUGAUAAAAAUGCCAACUGAAGUUGAACGCACACCCCUCUGUCAGCCAUUCAGUGAUCUUUGUGACUGGGUCACAGGCUGGUUUACUAAACUUAUUUUCCACUGCUCUUCCCCCUACCCACAUAGCUGUGAUGUCUCUCCCUUCCAGAAGCUGUCACCUCUGUCUAGGAUGCAUUCUCCCAUCUGUCUCCUGUCAGCUUCCUAACAAAAGUCAGCUUAAACCCAACCUCAUCCAGGAGGCCGUCUAAGAUCCCAUAGACCCCGCCCCCACCCCGCAAGCUGGAAUCAACUUUUUAGGCUUCUUUGUCCGAAUAUCAGGCGCCCUGACUGAGGCUAUCCUGCUUAUCACAGUCUAUGAAUCAGCACACGAGGCCACCUCCCCGCCAGGUCUUGGGGUCCUGAGAUCCUGAUCCUUGUCCGUCUGUCCUACAUGGCCCAGCACCACUGCAUCUGGCCCCCUCUGGACUUGUUGAAUCUCAGUUCUUGGUGUCAGAGCCAGACACAUACAUAUGUGGGGUGAUCCCUGGAGCUCUAGAAACCCAAACUCUGGCCUGUAAGGGUAACUGACUGUGACUUCCUCCUGCCCUCAGGACCAAGACAGCCGUCGUUCCCCUGCUGGGCUGGCCAACAGGCUUCCUCCAAGACGGCUCACUCAAUGGCCAAUCCCAGCACCACCCCUCACAGCUCUGUCCCUCUGCCUCUAGACUCUCACUGUUCUUAGAAGGCAGGUCGGGACAGGAGGAGUCAGAUUUCCUAGAAAAGAUGAAGGGACAAUUCACUGAGAUAUUAAUACGUGUUCUCUCGCUGUUUCUCCUCCCCAUUACAAGCAGGUAGCCAGACCUGGCUAUGUUCUUGCCUGAGGGAAUUUUGCAAAGCAGGUCUUGAGGAGUCUCCGGGAAGAGCUGGUUGAUGUCCUGCAGGGGGCACCUCUGAGAGUAGCACUGAAAAGAGAUUUUAUCCCCUAGCCUGUGGGAGCUCACAGUGAGGCCUGUGAAGAGGCCCGUCCCUGGGUGCGCCUGGGCCUCCUGGACCCUAGAACCUGGGGCUUCCAGUCUUGCUAGAUAUUCCUGCACUGGAGAUAUUGUACAGAAAGCACAGAACCACCUGACGUGAAGGGUCCAUGUCAGACUAAGUCAUUGGGAGUCCAAGUGGUAUUUGGGGGCGGCCAAUGACUGAUGACAGGAGGAAACUCCGAAAGUUUCCACACAGUUCUAGUAGGGGUGUGAGAGCACUAGGGUAGAUUAAAGUUGAUUUAGAAGAAUUAAAGGUAUAUGAAUUAAUGGAGCCAUUCGAACCAGGUGCAUGUCAGGGCCUCCCUGGAGCUGACCACACGGGGUUUGGGCUCUGUGUUGGGAAGACUUUUGCUCCUGGGUGGCCAUUCCCAAGAGGAUGGCCAGGCCAGACCAGACACUGGUGCCCAAGAGGUGCCAAGACCACUGGCAAGAAGAAGGAAUUUCCACGAAUGGUUUAAACUAGUUGAGAUUCAUCUCUCUAGGCUGGGAAGGGGACCUUGAGUUUGUGGCCAUCAGGUCUGGACCAAGACAGAAAGGUGGACAGAGAAGGCUGUUGGGUAGGAAGCGGCCAUGUCUGCUCACACCUACGCUCUACCUUGAGAAUUUCUGAAGUCUGUUGGAUGUUGCCAUUUAAUCUGAAAGGAAAGAAGGUGGAAAAGAAGACCAACCUGUUCUUUCUGAUAAUAAAAGUAACACUGGGAGGAGCAGCAGCAUGGCUGUCCCUGAGCUGGGGGCAGACGUGUGUGGGUCUGUCUGGGUCACUGGUGGGGAAGAAAUCUGUCUGCCUGGGGGUCAAAGGAACCCCCGGGGAAGCAUCCACAUCAGAGGCAGAGCGUACCCUCAAGGAGAGAUCCCAACAUGGUGAGUCUGAAGCAGUAUGAAGCCUCGGCCCUCAGCGAGGAGGACCGACUGGAGAUCAGCGAGUGCUGUCCCACAGACUGUCCCCUUGCCCGGCACCCCUAUGUCCUCAACAGCUCCGUGAAGCCCAGAGUUAGGCUAAAAUAGAAUGCUGGGCUGUGGCAAAGCCCUGACUGAUUGCAGCUCCGGCUUUGAAACCAUGAGGCAACGUGUAGCGAUUUUCCUGGAAUGAUGUGGCUUUGAGGAUCCCAGAGGCUAUGGUGCCGCUGUGGGACCCUUUGCAGAGCCCUGAUCACCAGCACAGUGGGGUCCCGAAGUGACGACAGUGCUGCCCAGCAGGCAGGCUGCCCAGCAAAGGCGGCUGAGACCCCAGGGACUGACAGCACAGCCCGAGGGUAAAGGCGACAGCACCAGGUCUCUUCGCCUGGACUUGCUCCCUGGUGAAUCCCAGCCUGGCUCCCGCGGGCACACACAGGGCUGUGUGGGAAUUAGACACAGGCGCCCGGCUGGGCAGACAAAUCACGAAAAGGCGGCCCUCCUCUGCUCUGAAGCGGGGCUUGACAGACGGGGCUCAGGCUGAAUUUCGGCCUCACCUCGCGGCCAGGCACUUCUGGACAAUGACUCUGGACAUCCACGAAACACCAGUGGAGUGGCAGAUGUGCAGAGAAGGGGAUGGGAGCUGUCAUGAAAGUGUGUGUGUCGGGGUGGGGGUGGUAAAAUACUCUGAUUAGAACAAAAUGUUUUUAAAACCCAGAAGAGUAUAAAGAAGAAAGUUGAAAUCACCCCAGUCUCAAUCUUUGAUGUUCAAGCCUCAGAAAAUUUGAUGCAGAGAGAAAUCAGAUCCAGAGGAUCCUUUAAAGCCCUUCCUUUGAUGUUGCUGUUGAGUCUUGCGCCAAACCAGGGCCUUUGUGGGAUGCCGGACCCAGCCGCUCCCUCAGCAGCCUGGGCUGGGGGCCCUGCUGACAUACAAGUUAUGCCGAACAAAGUUAUUGCUUCCUCUGCAGCCGAGACUUGGGAAUUCCAUUUCUCUUCGUAAGACCCAGUGUGUUGGAUUCCUGGGGCUCACAGCCCCUGGGAACCCCCCAACCUCUGGAAAACCAUUGAUUCAUUCUCUUUCAAGAAUAUUUCCUGAGCACCUCCUCUGCCCCAUUUUUACCCUCAGGAAAAAAAAUCACAGUGUGUAGAAAGGAACGGUUGGGUCCCUCCCCCUCUGCCUGCGUGGCCAGCUGUUGAUUCCUUGCAGCUGUUCCUCCUGCUCAGAGCCUGGCCUCCCUUGGGCGGCGCCCCCACGAGACAAUCACACUGCAUGCCAGAGAUCCGUUUUAUGUUGUUUCUCUCCAGCGGUCAGUCCCAGUACUCGUCCCAUAAUACUCCUGUGCUGUGUUCUGCCUUUUGCAACAUCCUUUAUACUGGCUCAGGACUAGAUUCUGCCAUUACCCUAAAGGUCCCAGCAGAUGACAGAAAGUGAUUGCAGUAGACGGAAGGAAAAUGUCAGACAAAGCUCCAAGGAGGAGGUGGGUUGGAAGGACUAUGAGGUUUUCAAAACGUGAAAAUGGCAGAGGAAGGCUAUUUUAGGCACAGAUGGCAGCGUGGGCAGAGCAUCCUGGGGAUAUGCCAAUGUAACCCAGCACACUGUUUCAGCACAUGCAAACCUCACAUGAAGGCUGACAUCACACACCUGCACGCUCACACCUGUACACAGGCUUCUAACUAAGGCUGAACCCUAAGAGCUUUAAUGCCGCCAUAGUGGGGAAGGGUGGCGAGUAGCUUCUGAUGCCAGAGGUGGAAGCUUCAAUUAGCCUUGAGGGCAGAUCCUUCCUUCCCCUCCUCCCUUUCCUUCCUAUCUUCCUUCUUUCCUGCCUCCUGCCUUCUUUUCUUCAUCACCAAAAAGGGCCCUCGGGUCCCACAAAUAUAAUGUGACCAUUGUUCUUGGGGAAAACUGUUAAGUGAUUAACUCGUAAAGGACUGUGUGUGCAUGCG